rnacentral:rRNA from 1 species
AAAGCGUGCGCAGGCGGUUUUGUAAGACUGUCGUGAAAUCCCCCGGGCUCAACCUGGGAAUGGCGAUGGUGACUGCAAGGCUAGAGUUUGGCAGAGGGGGUAGAAUUCCACGUGUAGCAGUGAAAUGCGUAGAUAUGUGGAGGAACACCGAUGGCGAAGGCAGCCCCCUGGGUCAAAACUGACGCUCAUGCACGAAAGCGUGGGGAGCAAACAGGAUUAGAUACCCGAGU